rnacentral:rRNA from 1 species
UCCUGGCUUAGGAUGAACGCUGGCGGCGUGCCUAAUACAUGCAAGUCGUACGAGGGAAGUCCAGCUUGCUGGACGGAACGAGUGGCGAACGGGUGAGUAAUACGUAAGGCAAACCUGCCUGCAAGGACUGGGAUAACAACCUGGAAACGGGCGCUAAUACCGGAUAGGUAACAAAGGGGCAUCCCUAUGUUAUUAAAGGUUAGAAACACAAGCAGAUGGGCUUACGGUGCAUUAGCUAGUUGGUGAGGUAACGGCCCACCAAGGCGAUGAUGCAUAGCCGGCCUGAGAGGGUGAACGGCCACAUUGGGACUGAGACACGGCCCAGACUCCUACGGGAGGCAGCAGUAGGGAAUUUUCGGCAAUGGACGAAAGUCUGACCGAGCAACGCCCGCGUGAGUGAAGAAGGUUUUCGGAUUGUAAAGCUCUGUUGUAAGGGAAGAACAGCACGGAAAGAAUCCGUGAAUGACGGUACCUUACCAGAAAGCCACGGCUAACUACGUGCCAGCCGCCGC